CCUGAUGAGYUGYUGCYGGUUCUCUAGGGAGCAYGUGCACACUUGUCAUCUUUAUAUCUCCACCUGUGCACCUUUUGUAGACCUGGAUAUCUCUCUGAAUGCUAGCCACUCAGGUUUGAGGAUUGACUUUAUGUCUCUCCUUGCAUUUCCAGGCCUAUGUUUCUUUAUAUACCCAAUGUAUGUCAUAGAAUGUAAUCAAUGGGCCUUUGUGCCUAUAAACCUAUACAACUUUCAGCAACGGAUCUCUUGGCUCUCGCAUCGAUGAAGAACGCAGCGAAAUGCGAUAAGUAAUGUGAAUUGCAGAAUUCAGUGAAUCAUCGAAUCUUUGAACGCACCUUGCGCUCCUUGGUAUUCCGAGGAGCAUGCCUGUUUGAGUGUCAUUAAUAUAUCAACCUCUUCAACUUUUGUUUGUCGGGUGUUGGAUUUGGGGGUCUUUUUUGCUGGCCCUAAGGUCAGCUCCCCUGAAAUGCAUUAGCAGAACAAUUUGUGAACCGUUCAUUGGUGUGAUAACUAUCUACGCUGUUGACGUGAAACAAGUUCAGCUUCUAACAGUCCAUUGACUUGGACAACUUUUCAUUAAUGUGACCUCAAAUCAGGUAGGACUACCCGCUGAACUUAAGCAUAUCAAUAAGCGGAGGAAAAGAAACUAACAAGGAUUCCCCUAGUAACUGCGAGUGAAGCGGGAAAAGCUCAAAUUUAAAAUCUGUCAGUCUUUGGCUGUCCGAGUUGUAAUCUAGAGAAG
rnacentral:rRNA from 1 species